GACAGAGGGUGCAAACGUUGUUCGGAAUUACUGGGCGUAAAGGGCUCGUAGGCGGCCAUCUUAGUCAGACGUGAAAUCCCUCGGCUCAACCGGGGAACUGCGUCUGAUACUGGAUGGCUCGAAUCCGGGAGAGGGAUGCGGAGUUCCAGGUGUAGCGGUGAAAUGCGUAGAUAUCUGGAGGAAUACCGGUGGCGAAGGCGGCAUCCUGGACCGGCAUUGACGCUGAUGAGCGAAAGCUAGGGGAGCAAACGGG
rnacentral:rRNA from 1 species